CCCGACAUCUGAUUCCCAAAGUGGGAAUGACUUCCCGACAAGGAGGAAGAACAAAACACAUAGCCGACACCGAUAGUCUGGAUACUGGAUAGUUGUCAGAGCGUUUGUAAGUCAGUGGAUGUUCUCACAGAGCUGAAGGAGAUAAAACCUUUUGUUACGUUUAUUAUGAGAAAAGUAGAAGCGAUCGAAUUAUCAAUAAUAAAUGUUGCUUCGGAACCGAAACCAACAUUGUAGUUGCCUAAAUUACCUCUGACUCAAAUAAGCGAACUCGUGAACAUGGAGGCGAUGCUAGGCGAGGAAAACGUUCGAUCGCAAUUGUUUGAUAUGCUAAGGCAUACACGAAGAAUCAAAGAACGGGACUGUAUCAACCGCUGUCUGGAAAAAAUCUCGGAUUACUUGGGGCAGUAAUUGCUCUUGGACGGGGAAAAAAACAAUUUCAGAUUGUCUUCCCCAAAGCUGAUGAAUGUUAUAAAACUUUGAUAUGCUAAGGCAUACAGGAGGAAGCGAAGGAACGGGACUGCGUCAACCGCUGUCUGGAAAAAAUCUUGGACGGGAAAAAAAGCAAUUUCAAAUUGUCUUCCUCAAUGCUGAUGAUGUUAUAAAACGUGCUGUAAGGCAGACAUUUCCAAACGUUACAGAUGAUAUGGUUUCAACAUGGUGGGACCCGAAUUAAGCGACAAUAAUUAGUAACAAGAAACAAUUAUUUUUAAAUGCAGGUGAUGGAUGAUGACAAAACCUUAAACUAGUAGAAUUUAUUAAAUACAAGACAUACGUUUAAGUUUCCAAACACUAAAUCGGAGUAACCAGCGUGGUUCAAAUUUGUAGCGUAGUUGAGCAAUUUUAGUUUUUAAGUUUUGCUUCCCGUGUUUCUUAUUAUUGUGAUAUAGUCCGAGUUCUUAACCAAAUGUACAGUCCGGUCUGGCAGAAAGCAUGAAACUUGGCAUGUAUAUAGCUUAUAGGUUUAUAAGAAAAUAUGGAAGUAGAAACACGCCGAGGUGUCAAUGUUUCCCCUCUUUCCCCCCACUUUUGUA